GAGUUUGAUCAUGGCUCAGAUUGAACGCUGGCGGAAUGCUUUACACAUGCAAGUCGAGCGGCAGCGCGGGGCAACCUGGCGGCGAGCGGCGAACGGGUGAGUAAUGCAUCGGAACGUGUCCAUGUCGUGGGGGAUAGCCCGGCGAAAGCCGGAUUAAUACCGCAUGUGCCCGAGAGGGGAAAGUGGGGGACCGCAAGGCCUCACGCGAUUGGGUCGGCCGAUGUCCGAUUAGCUAGUUGGCGGGGUAAGAGCCCACCAAGGCGAUGAUCGGUAGCUGGUCUGAGAGGAUGAUCAGCCACACUGGGACUGAGACACGGCCCAGACUCCUACGGGAGGCAGCAGUGGGGAAUUUUGGACAAUGGGGGAAACCCUGAUCCAGCCAUUCCGCGUGAGUGAAGAAGGCCUUCGGUUG
rnacentral:rRNA from 1 species